rnacentral:misc_RNA from 1 species
GACGUAGGGCGCAAGCGUUGUCCGGAUUUAUUGGACGUAAAGAGCUCGUAGGCGGCUUGUUGCGUCAAUCGUGAAAUUCCACAGCUUAACUGGGGAAUUGCGGUUGAUACGGGCGAGCUAGAGUUCGGUAGGGGAGACUGGAAUUCCUGGUGUAGCGGUGAAAUGCGCAGAUAUCAGGAGGAACACCGGUGGCGAAGGCGGGUCUCUGGGCCGAUACUGACGCUGAGGAGCGAAAGCGUGGAGAGCGAACAGG